UAAUGACUUCUGAAAACAGUCUUCAAAUAAGAGCAGGUAGUGCUGCAAACAUCAUAUGCAUGCAAACUGCUGGGUAAGAGAUUUGAAAAAUGCAGCACCAGAACCUCAGAUGAAACAGAAUCCAAGGGAAUUCUCUCAAAUCAACUCCCAGUGCCAUUUUCUAAUUUCAUUGUCUGGCUUGAGUGGUGAAGGAUGCGUGCUCUAUUCUUCUCUUCACUUGACAUCUACCAGAACCCUCCUCAAUGAUUAGGAAUGAGCCCAACACCAAGCCUCAAAUAGCACAAGACAUUAAAUUCUGCCCUCAGAUAUGA